rnacentral:tRNA from 1 species
GCCGCCGUGGCGGAAUUGGUAGACGCUGCGGACUUAAAAUCCGCUUCCGGCAACGGAGUGAGGGUUCGAGUCCCUCCGGCGGCA